rnacentral:tRNA from 1 species
GGCUGGGUAGCUCAGGUCGGUAGAGCAGAGGACUGAAAAUCCUUGUGUCGGCGGUUCGAUUCCGCCCUCAGCCACCA